rnacentral:rRNA from 1 species
AACCGCGGUUAGACGAGAGGCCCUAGUUGAUUAACCCACGGCGUAAAGGGUGGUUAGGGAAACAAGAGAUAAAGCUGAAUGGCCCCUUGGCUGUCAUACGCUCCUGGGAGCCCGAAGUCCACACACGAAAGUAGCUUUAAGAACUACCUGAACCCACGAAAGCUAAGGAA